rnacentral:rRNA from 1 species
GAUGAACGCUGGCGGCGUGCCUAAUACAUGCAAGUCGAGCGAACAGACGAGGAGCUUGCUCCUUCGACGUUAGCGGCGGACGGGUGAGUAACACGUAGGUAACCUACCUAUAAGACUGGGAUAACUUCGGGAAACCGGAGCUAAUACCGGAUAAUAUUUCGAACCGCAUGGUUCGAUAGUGAAAGAUGGCUUUGCUAUCACUUAUAGAUGGACCUGCGCCGUAUUAGCUAGUUGGUAAGGUAACGGCUUACCAAGGCAACGAUACGUAGCCGACCUGAGAGGGUGAUCGGCGACACUGGAACUGAGACACGGUCCAGAGUACUACGGGAGGCAGCAGUAGGGAAUCUGCCGCAAUGGGCGAAAGCCUGACGGAGCAACGCCGCGUGAGUGAUGAAGGUCUUCGGAUCGUAAAACUCUGUUAUUAGGGAAGAACAAACGUGUAAGUAACUGUGCACGUCUUGACGGUACCUAAUCAGAAAGCCACGGCUAACUACGUG